AAAGAAUUUUUUAUUUUAGAAGAGUAACAUAAACAGAAUCUACAGCUGUCUAUCUAAAUUAUCAUGAGUUUGGAAAAACAAAUUCUGAAAUUCUCAGUUAUUCUGAAAUUCGAGAGAUACUAAACUCACUGUCAGUGUCUAAAAUGUGUAGCAGUUUGUUAGAUGAACAUGGACACAGCUGAAUGAUGAAAACAUACCCUGCCAAAAGUAUUGUUCCAGACACAAUGUCUAUCACUGGCAGUGAAGAUGAAUUGUAUACAGUAAACUUAUGGAAUGUCACAGAACCUAUCAUGCUUUUGGAAGAGAUAGAUUUAAUAAAAAAUAUGGAAUUGAGAAGAAGAAACAACAGAGACGCACAAAUUGCAUACCUCUGUCUCGUCUUCCUUGUUUGCCUUAUGUUGUUAUGCUUGUAUUUACUAAGAGGCUUCCAUAGUCGCAACACCUACAAGAGGGAUCAUUCCCUGCAUUAUAUGGAACAUUUGCCAUAUGUUAAUGAUGUAGUGUUGGCCAAGGCUAAGUAUCUGCCAAUGUUUCAUAAAGACAAUUUGUUUACCACAGUGUAUGUCCAUGAUUGUGGUACAGAUCCAUAACAAUUAUUUCUACUUGUUUUAUGUUGAUUCCUUUUUAUCAAUCCACUGAAAUAUUGUUGACAGUUAACAGAGGUAUUCAAGCUUUAGAAAAAAAUCUUCUAUUUACUUGGAUGUUGUUUAAAGUUUAUUGUAAAUUAAGUGCAAUUUAAAUUAUUGUUACAUUUUCAUUAAAAUGUUGUUGUUUUUAUAUCUCUAUUGAUGAAAUGGUGAGUUUGUUUCUUUAAGCCUGAUUCAUACAGUACUUUUUAUGGUGUGACCUAAAAUGCUUACAAUAUUUUUUUUUUUAGUUUAGUUAUAAAACUAAGCAACUUGUAAGACUAACAAACUAAGAAAGGUACAUCCCCACAAGAAUUCUUUUAUGCAUUUAAUUUGUACUUUGAUUUUUGUUUUAUAAUGUCAUAUAGAAAUGCCUUGUGAUAUUUUUUAGUGCCAUAUUGAGUAUUUUAAAUUGCAACUGUUAUGAUACUGUAACAUAAAUAUUUGGUUUUAGCUUUAGUUAGUAAGUUUUUCAUCAAGAUCUAGCAAUCCAUUUUGUAGUUCAGUUUACCUGUUUCUAAGUCAUCAUUGAACCAUGUUUAUUUUCCUCAGCAGAGAACAGGUACCCAUUCAAACUGGUGAAUUUUGGGGCUUUAGUCCAAAGUUGAAAUCAUGAAUAAAAUUCAUGGGAUUGCCUGUUGGAUUUACAGUAGAAUGAUUUUUCACUCCAUCCCCAAGCUUUUUGUAAGCUUUAUUUUUAACAGUGAUAAAAUUAGGAAAUAUAAGUCAUUUUUUGGAGGAGUUUUUUAAAAAGUAUUAUUAAUGUUGAGCAUUGGAUUCUUUUUCAGUUUCUGUUUUCUUAUCUUAUCUUAUCUUAUAUAAUACAGACGUUACUUCAAAAAAGAAGAUGAUUACGUCCUACGCGUCAUGCAUUUAGUCAUGCAUAUUAACCAAUGACUUAAAUUCUGCCAAGUCACUGGUUUUCCUGGCUAGCUCAGGCAACCCAUUCCAUGCUCUAAUAACACUAGGGAAGAAGGAGUAUUUGUACAAAUUGGUCCUAGCAUAUGGGACGAGGAAUGUGCCUUUAUCUUUGUGUCUUUCAGAGUAUUUUAUUAAAUUUUGUUUUUGUAUUUGAAGAUUAUGGUUCAGUGUUUUAUGUAUUAUUGCUACUUUACUUUUGAGCCUUCUGUCCUGAAGGCUUUCUAAAUUUAGUGAUUUUAAUAAAGGUGUUACUCUAGUCAAAUGUGAAUAUUCGUUUGUUAUGAAUCGCACUGCUCUAUUUUGUGUCUGUUCUAGUUUCUUAAUGUUUUCUUGAGUUGAGGGGUCCCAAACAGAGGAUGCAUAUUCUAUUAUUGGCCUAACCAAGGUUAAAUAACAUUUUAGUUUUAUGUUCUUAUUUGAUUUAUAGAAAUUUCUUUUAAUAAAUCCUAAUGCUUUGUUUGAUUUUUUUGUAGUUUCAUCAAUAUGUGGAUUCCAUGACAGUUUUUCAUUUAUUAUAACACCUAGGUAUUUUGCGUUUUUAGUCUGUGUUACUGGUUUGCCAUGAAUAAGAUAAGUGGAAUUAAUUUGUUUUAGUUUUUUUUGUUACUCUUAACAACUGACAUUUUUCUGGGUGGAAAGACAUGCUCCAAUUUGAUUCCCAUUUCUGUAAUUCAUCUAAUUUUCUUUGUAAAAUAUCUGUGUCUUGUGUUGUUUUUAUUGUUCUAUAUAUUAUGCAAUCGUCUGCAAAUAAUCUGACUUUUGUUCCUGAAGUAAUGCAAUUUGGUAAAUCAUUUAUGUAAAUUAAAAAUAGUAGUGGACCCAAGACUGUUCCUUGAGGUACACCUGAGUUUACUGUUAUCAGUGUUGAUUUAGAGCCAUUUAUUAUUACAGUUUGUUCUCUCCCUAUCAGAAAGUCUUUAAUCCACUGAUGCAGUGGACCAUUAAUGCCGAAAUAUUUUAAUUUUUUAAGCAAACUAUGGUGGUGAACUUUGUCAAAAGCCUUAGAAAAAUCUAGUAAGAUAGCAUCUAUUUGUUCGCUAUUAUCUAAACCUUUUGAAAAAUCAUCAAUUAGUCCUAUUAGUUGUGUUUCACAUGAUCUAUAUUUCCUAAAGCCAUGUUGGUAUGGUGUGGGGACAUUAUGUUUGUCUAAGUGGUUUAUAAUGUUGCUACAUAUUAUGUGUUCUAGGAUUUUACAUGUGAUGCUGGUAAGUGAUACUGGUCUGUAGUUUCCUGGGUCAGAUUUUUCUCCUUUUUUAAAUAGGGGGGUGACAUUAGCUUCUUUCCAGUCCUUUGGUACUCUGCCCUGGUUAAGUGAAGCCUGAAAGAGUAUUUUGAACACUGGGGCUAGCUCAUUACUUAGUUCUUUGAGUAAUCUAGCUGGAAUACCAUCAGGUCCAGAAGCUUUAUUUGGUUUGGUGUUGGCUAAUAGUUUUUGAAUUCCAUUUUCUUGUACUACUAUAUCUUCUAUGUUGUCUACUUGGUUCAAAUUCAGUAAUAUGUCUUUGUCUCCUGGGGCUGAGAAUGCUGAUGCAAAGUAUUUGUUUAGAAUGUUUGCUUUAGUUUCAUUAUGUAUUAUGUUAUGUUCAUCUUUUAAUGGCGCUACGCCUGUUGUUUCCAUUUUCUUAGACUUAAUGUAUGACCAUAGGUUUUUGUUGUUGUCUUUAGCUAUUACAUUGUUUAUGUAUUCACUCUGCAGCUGUCUGCUUACUUUUUGGGUUAAGUGUUUAAUUUUAUAUUUUUACUUUGAGAAAACUGUCAAAGAAAUACAUUUCAAUUCAUUGAUGAAGACACAUGUUGUGAUCCACACUUGAUUUUUGUUUCAUUCAUACUUGCAUUUAUGUGAAUUUUUGCGAAGGUGUAUUUUACAAUUUUACAUAAUUUUUUAGUAUAACUACAUAAUCUCUUAAUUUAUAUUCCUAUAUUUUAGCUUAUUACACACACACACACACAUAAUCCAAGUUUUUAAUUUCCUCACCAACCACAAGUUUGAGUGAUGAGUAAAAUUGUCUUCAUUCCAGAUAUAAAGUUGUAACAUGGGAAAAGAACUAUGUCACUUGUGAGAAGUUUGUUUUGAAAGCCCUGUUAUUAUAGUCUUUCAUUUUUUAAUUCAGAUCUAAUCUAGUCGUUAUGAAGAUCUAAUCAUCUUGGGUGUUAAAAAUUAAUCAUAUUGGAAAGCUAGUCAUUUUAAUUUUAUGAUAGUCAUUAUUCUGUUCUUUAUUUAAAAUUAUAUACAAAUGUUUUUUUUUAUAUUGUCUGCUGCAUGGGAACUGUGAUGACACUAAGGAUAAAUGGAAAUAAACUUGAAGGAACAUUUGAGCUUUAAUUGCAUUGAACAUAAAAGUAUCAACAAGAUUUUUUUUUCCUCCAGUCCCAUUGAGUGCUGAGAAAACUGAGAAGAUGAAGUAGGAUUGGUCAAAAAUAAUCUAAAUGAAGUAUGAUUGGUCAAAAAUAAUCUAAGACCUUAUGGGUAGUAGUGUUUUUAGUGGCUCCCUUAAGGAAAAGCCUCUCUUGUUUGUGCUGGCCUUCCAUGUCAUGCAAAGAUAUCAACAAAUAAAAGUGUUAUUAAAAGUAUAUUACCAUUACCCUCAUCCAGCUUGAAAUAGGUGCAAAAUGUUUAAUAGUAAAAUAAAAGAGGCAGUUUUUUGUUAUAUGGAUCUACAUUAUCUACAACUCUGAAAGAGGUUUAAAAAAAACAACUCAAGAUAGAUGUUGUUUUUUCCUCUGCAAAUUCUGUUAAUGAUAAUAAAGGCCUCUUAGUGAAGAAUUGAAUACCUCUGUUGUGAUUUUGAAUGAUAUGUGAGCCAGUACAUUUGACGAUUUGUGUUUUACAGAAAUUCUCUGUAUCAACUUUUUUUUUCUUGGUUUUCAACAUUGUUAACUUACAUUCUGAAUAAUAUUAAUUUGUUGAUAUAGCAAAUCACUAUUUCAUUUGAAGAACCAUGUGUAUCAUUCUGUUUUCCGGUGCAGUAUGUUCGCGCAUAUGACCCGCGGGUUAUACACGUUUUUACUAAAUUUAUUUUACUAAUAAUUAUAGCACAACGGGAACUAUGGACAUACCGGUGGGUCUUUAUAACUCCUAUAGUUCGCUGUGUGGUUGUGAAAUGUGCAUUGGAAAGCUUUAUAAACAUCUCAUUAUAAACUUCAAGAAAACAAAUAGUACCGAUGUGGCAGAGAAUCUUUACUAUAACUGUAAUCAAUUGUGACAGGCAAGUAAGCAUCUACCGAUACCGGUCAUAUCGAAACGUAUAGACUACAACGCAUGCAGUCUCACUAACGUCACUGUCCUCGCUAGACUUAGUGAAGCCAUCGAAACUUGAAUCCUAUUCACUCUCUUCCAAUAAACGAAGCAUGUUGGCAGCAGCAGCAGUUGUGUUAUAAAUCUCUCUUGUCUUCAUCAUCAUCAGUAACAGCGCUCACAUUGUUAGCCAAAAUGAAGCUGCCAUCUACUGCUGGCUCUGAAUUAGCUUCACUAAUUGUUAGUAAACCCGGCUUCUUGAAACCACUGCGAGUAGUUUCAUCGCUGAUUUGCUGCCAGCACCCAUUAGCUUCAGUGUAUAGAGCAGGUCUCUGUUCUCCUUCACUCAGUCAUAUCUCCCAUUCGUUGCGGACACUUGAAUGGAUGACAGCCAUGCUAAAUGGCUGAAGCUUACAUGUUAAGCCACAUGGAAUGUGCGCACCGGCCUUAUUGAUCUGUUUGUGAACAGACGGUUCAUUGUGCAGCCACAAAAUCAACAACGACUUUGGCAGCAAGAAUCCACUCUGUCUAGCACGAUACCAUCGUUCAGUCCACUCAUUCAUCACGUCCUUUUCUAUUGUACGGUACGAUUACUCCCUGAGGCAGUUUCUCACGUGGCAUUAUGUCACUCUUUUGAAUAUGAUCAUUGGUCUCAACUUGUCACGGGGAGCUCGCCAGGACAACCGUGAAGCAGGUGCGUUCAUGUCCAGUUGUGGUAAUAGCAACUGUUUUACACCCACUUUCCGCUACAGUGCGAUUAGCCAGAAUAACAAAUGACAUGGGUACCUCAAUCACCUCAUCCAGCGGAAGGAUUUCAAUUCUGUUCUACGAUAUCCUUUCUAACAAAAAGUCUUUAACUUUUAUUCCCCGAUUCCCAGUUUCUGGCCAACGAACGAACCAACAGCUGAUUAGUCUCAUGAAUUUAAAAAACCCAGUUGUUUCCACUAGUGAAAUUAUCCAUCUUUAUUUCAGCAGUCAUUAUUUUGGCCUUCAGUUUGAUACCAACAAUUGACACUGCCCUGUACUGCGAGGUUUGUCUCCAGCUGUGGCCACCUAACCUUUCCCCCCUCUAUGAGCUCUUUUGCUGGGAUUAAUUUGCUGUAGACUUUCAAUGUCUUUUCGCCAUUCGCGAACUGACUUUUCAUCGUCAUACAGUCUUCCGGCAGCGCUAUUGUAGCAGCAACUGCACAAACUUACAGCUUAAAAUCGGCUGUAUAUGAAUUACGCUUUGGUAUUUUCAGACUUUAAAAGCUCUACUGAGUAUGCUACUGAUUAUAAUUAAUAAACAUUAACUACACAUGCUGCACACUAAAGAAUACCCGUGUUGUUGAUUUCCCCUGCACAAUCUAGCAAAUAACUAGGUCAACGACUUACUGUCGAAACAACAUAGGCCUCUUACAGAUAUGGCCGUUGGCUCGUAUUUCACACGCAUGUUUCACUCUUAGUGGAAGCACAACUGGAGCACGACUGCGUUUCGAGGGACAGACGUCUGAUGAGCAACAACUUUAUGUCGCUUUGCACAUGCGGAUUAUAUGAGUGUGUGUUGUACGAUUUUGUUUUUACUAGUCUUGUACGGGGUACAUGCUAAAAAAUAGGGUACUUUUACUGAAGUUCUUUUAACGUCUCUAUUAAAUGAAGUUUGUACGACUAGUACAUUUGUAAAAGUACCUCUCUUAAAUUUAUCUUUCAGCUCUUGUUAUUUACAUCUAUGUAGUGCCAUUCUAAAUGGUUUGUUAUUUAAAUCCAAAACUCUUAAAAGUCUAGCAUAAGUUAAAACAUUUUAAUGUUAUACAAUGUGCAUACAAAAUAAACCUUAAGCGCAGUGGUACUAAAAUUUAUGAAAUAUUUAAACAUUUGUACAUGUAAAAAUAUGUACUUAAAAAUGUUAGAUUCUUUUUGACCCCCACAAUAUAAUUAGCAAUUUAAUUGACUUUAUAGCAUUAUUUAUUUAUUUGCGUUGCUGUCACAAGUAAGACUUAUUUGACUAAAGUGAUUAGUCCUGUUCAGUCAUCUUUUAGACAGCUAAGUUUUCAUCUUUUUGACAAUGUAUUGAUUGACAUUCUAAAUAUGUUUAUUAUGUCUGUGAUUGUAGAUAGUAUAGAUUUUUGGUGUAGCCAAACUAACUCAUUUCUACCUUUGUAUUAUGUUAUGCAGUGACUUUCACAAUAAGGACAUGUAAGAAACAACAAUUUUUAAAGUGGUACAUUAUUAACCUUGCAAGUUUGUGUCCUAAUUGUAUAUAUAAUGUUCUCAAAUGUUUGAGCCAUUAGAAAGAAUACAGUACUGCUCAAGCUUCUCAGUGCCUUACCAAUGGCAGCAAAAAUAUUCCUUAGAUCUACAUAGUUAUUAAGACAUGCCAACAUUGGAAUGUCUAAAGUAUUAUAAUUAUUAUAAAGCUAAAGCAUUAUUCUCUCUAGCUUCCUACUAAAACGAAAUAUUUUGUUAUUGUUGAUAUAUUUGUGUUUCCUGGGCAACGACUUGUAUUACUUUUAUCAUAAUCAGCUCAGCAAAAUAUUUGAUUUAUUACUUGUACUUGUAGGCUGUAUUUUGGAGUCACAUAUUGUGUCAUUUUAUAACUAUCUUGUGUAACUUUACAACUAUGUUUUUGUGUAACUAUUAUAACUAGAUUAAGAAAACCAAUAAAGAAAAGAUUAUUUUUUAAAAA